rnacentral:lncRNA from 1 species
UGUUUUUAAUUUCUUAGUAGAGAAAACAUGUUACCUAAAAUGGAUUAUCCUCACACCUUUAUAGAUAAAUUCUUUUUGUGUGACAAUUUUUUUUUUGACAGGGUAUCAUGAUGAGUAGAUGGAUUGCCAUGUUCACCUAAUAGACCUCAGUUCCUCAAACAUGACUCAAAUUUAGGACAAUUUAGGAUGGAUCAUCACUGUGCAAUUCUUGUGGAUAAUUUAUCUUCUGCCUUACCUCAAAUAUGAAAUAUGUAUUUACCUAAAAUGUAACAUAUUUCUUCCCUCCAAGUUUAUAUAUAUUUUAAUUGGUAUAUUCUAAGUGUGUAUAACAGGUAAAGUAUAUUUUGUCAAGGAGGAACCUAAGCCAGUAUGGGAACAUGGAGCAAAUUCAGAGAAAAAUGUGUCAGUGGAAUUGGUUUUAUAUAACGAAGUCUUUUAAACAUUUUUUUUUGGGGGGGGAUAAAGAGAUUUUCUACUUUACAGGAAAUAAGGUUUAAAAUAAUAAUAUGACAAUAGGAUACUGGCAAAAUAAAAUCCAUAGACAAUUUUAUAUUUAUUUAUUUAUUUAUUUAAUUUUUUUUGUCUUUUUUGCCUUUUUCUAGGGCCGCUCCCAGGGCACAUGGAGGUCCCCAGGCUAGGGGUCUAAUCAGAGCUCUAGCUGCCAGCCUACACCACAGCCACAGCAACGUGGGAUCUGAGCUGUGUCUGCAACCUACACCACAGCUCAAGGCAAUGCUGUAUACUUAAUCUACUGAGCAAGGCCAGGGAUCGAACCUGCAACCUCAUGGUUCCCAGUCAGAUCUGUUAACCACUGCGCCACGACAGGAACUCCGACAGUUUUAUAUUUUAAUAUAGAAACAUAUUUAUUAUCUAUGUAUGUUAUAUAUAAUAUCUUUAUUUUCCCUGUAUAACAUAUAAAGGUUGUCUAUCUCUAUAUUAAGGCCAUAAAGAACUCCUCCAUACUAUGGUACAGCAUAUAAGGAUGGCAAAUAUAAUCCUGUGAAAUAAAGAUAUAUAUGAAUAUCACUAAUAAGCUAUCAAUUUAAACAACACCAGUUAUACCAGACUAGAAUGAGGAUGUUAGGCUGAAGUAAAGAAUUAGUAGUUAAAAAUUUGUGUUACUGUGUACUUAAAAAGAGAAUAAUAAAUGAAAAAACAGAACUGGUCAUAAGUAUAAAAAAAUAGCAAUGCUGGGAGUCUCCAAGUUGUAAGAAAGUAAAAAAAAAAUGCAUUUAUCAUAUUACUUUAUAGAUAAGUUUACAGGAAAUACAUCUCACAUAAACCUUACUUAUAAGGUUAUGAGCUUCUGAGAUCUUACCUUGUCCCCAUGUACAUAAAUUUCUUGUCAGUAAUACUGAACUACAAUUAGGAAAAACAAUUUAUUUAAAAUAUUUUAUGUCCACAUCCAUGGACAAUGGAAGUCCCUGGAUCAGGGACUGAAUCUGAGCCACAGCCACAGCAACGCAGAUCCUUUAACACACUGGGCCAGGCCAGGCUGGGGAUCAUAUCAGCACCUCCACAAGGACCUGAGCCACAGUAGUCAGAUUCUUAACCCACUGCACCACAGAAGGAGCUCUAAAGAGACAUUUUAAAUAAAUGGAAGAGUAAUAUACAUCUUGUUUUGAUGCACUGAUGAAAUAGUGCAACCGUGCUGCAGAAAAGAAAUUACAUUGGUAAGUGCUGAUUUUUCCAUAAGAUAAUGGAGGAUUGAAGAACUGUUUCUUACCGGUUUCUGAGUUGUGAGGAAGGCAUAAGGUUACCUUUUCAUAGCUUAUUAUCCACUAAUAUUUUUCACUGGACACAAAACAUACUGUAUAUUGUACCAAUAACACUGGGUACUCAAAAUCCCUAGCCUCCAAAAAUCGCUUUUCGCAUCUCAGUGCAAGAUAGAAACCCCCUUUUCUUUCAUCAAGAGAUCACAAAAAUUCACAUGUAUACAUUGAUUUAAUGUUCACUAAGUACACAACAUUUUUGAGAAGGGAAUAAGAAGAUCUUAAAGUCACUAACUGGCUAAGAAUUUGGAAAGAUAUUAAGUUAGAAAUUGACCAUGGGAAGCAUCUUCAUAAUUCUGCCAUAACUUUUCUUUUUUUAUUCCUGACUCUUUAGUUAGCCUCUUCCCUCUCAAUUUUGUCCCUUCUUAUUGAUGUGAUUAAGUAUUUGUAGAAAACACAAAUAUUACAUAAAAUUUGGCACUGCCAUUUCCAAAGUGGUCAUUAGCAUUUGUGAAAAUAUUUGAAUAAUUAAUCUCAAAGAAAAGAGGAACAGUCCUAUUCUCCCUCUUUUCUUUCUUUUUUUUUUUUUUUCCACACCUACAGCAGCAGCAUCCAGGACAAGUAUUCAACCCGCGCCACAGCAGAGAUGCCGCCAGAUCCUUAACCCAGUAAGCCACCAGGGAACUCCAUACUGUUAUGUUGAUGAAUUACCAAUAGCAGGAUGCUCAUGGAAAUGAACCUGAAAUUCUCAUGUUUUACUAUGUUUUGUCAUAGAAGAAAUACUACAUUUAAAAUUACCAAAACAUCUGGAUAUUGGCACAGUACAACACCGCAUGAAAUAUUUCAUUUACCUGUCAUAAAAUGUCUGUCUCAGCUUCCCCAUGUGCUUCAUGACAUGCACAGUGAGAACUAUUUAUGGGUUAUUUUCCAUGCUCUGAGGCUUCCUUAGGAGAUACCAGACAAUUUCCUUAAUGUCCCCAAAGCAUUGAAAUCUUCAGAGAAACAAGGGAAGGGAUGUGUUUAUUAGCAGUUCAAAACAAUUGUAUUCACCAAUGAGUUAGGUUUACUUGUGUGUGUUUCAUUACAGCUUUUACUGUUGAUUAGUUUCCUACAGACUGGUCUUCUGAUAUAGUCUAAUAUAACCAUCUAUGUAUCUGAAGUAAUAUAUUUCAUCUGUACAACAAGUGUGUCAGUGUUCCUCUAACUCCGCCAUGGUCUCCUCAAGUGGGUGACACAAUAGAAACGGGUUUAAUCUGUCUUAUUGCAUUAUUGAAAAUAUUUAAAUGCACCAACAGAGUAAUAUGUUGCAUCUAGAAAAGAUCCUGAUUCCUUCUCUGUUUCUUUUUUUAACUCUUGGGUGAGGAAUUAGUAACUCCUAUUUCUCAUUCUCAUUUCACAAAGAACCAUCAUCUUUUUAUUUCAGAUUUCUCUUUCAUUAUAUUUACCUUCAUUAAGUUUCAAUAUUUUUCCCCAUCAGGUCCAGUACCUGCUCAAGUUCUUCUUGUACAUUCACAGAUUCUACUCUAGUUCAUAUAUGUCUUACAUGAUAUAUUCUGCAACGAGGUAAUGUUUAUAUGCAUAUAUUUUACUGUUCUUGUACAUUAUUGAGCUGUAAAAUUGUUUCACUAUUUGUGAUAUACCAUAUCGUGACUAUUUUUCUCUGCUUUUUUAUUCAUUACUGUCAACAUACAUUUAAAAUUAAGGGAUCUUUUCUUCCUUAGUAGAUAUUUUGUUUUUCUCCAUCCUCAGCUAUCACUACUACAACCUAUAGUCCAAUGAAAAGCCUUGACUUUGCCACAUUAAUAGGUUGUGAACAAAUUCUCCAUGAUACACAUAUCACAUAUCCACCUCUGUGAGUGUUCCUGUAUAGAUAAAGAAAUAGACAAAUCUAUACUUCCUCCUAUACAUAUUUCCAUGCUCAGCCACUCACAUAGUAGAGAGAUCUCCUGAUAAUAACAUGGAUAAUACUCUUUUGUGAACUAUUUCAGAUUGGUUGUACAAUUUUUCCCCCAUAAUAUAUGAGGUUUCCUGGAUCAUCACCUCUCUGACUGGUACCUAAAUCAUAUUCUUUCUUAGUAAGUCUUAUUUUUAUGAGGUGUAUCUCCCCCUUGUUUAUGGUUUGAUUUUUGGCUUGUUUAGGAGUAAAUGAUCACCUUUUUGAGGCGUCAUUGAAUUCAAUGAACCGGACAUAUAUAAAGUGUAAGACUUUAGGUUUUUAACAUACAUAUGCACCUGAGAAAGAACGAAAACUUUCUAGAUAAUGAACAUUAUCUAUCACCCCUAAAUAGUCUUAAUGUCCAGGUAGUACUUACUUUCUACCCUUUCCUUACCCCAUGCUCUCCUUGGAAGCUCUAGACUUGAUUUUUUUUUUAAAUUUUAUGUUGAAGUAAGUAUAAAGUUAUAAGAAACUUCAAAAGAGAGAACAGAGAGUUCCAGUGUCCUUAGUUUUUCUAGUGGUUACAACUUACAUAAAUAUUUUACAAUAUCCCAACCACAUCAACACUGAUAUAAUCCACUGACUUUGUUCAGAUUUCACCAGUACUGCAGCUAUGCCUUUGUGUAUUUAUAUCAUAUUAUGCAACUUCAUCAUACGUGUACAUUUGUAUAACUACCACAAAAGUCAACAUACCAACCUAUUUCACCACCACAAGUAUUUCUUAUGACAUUCCUUUAUAGCCUGGGCCGCUUUCCUUCUUUAAUACUUAAUUUUAAACCUAUUCAACCACAAAUCUGUUUUUCAUCCCAAUAAUUUUAUCUCUGAAAAACAUUUUAUGAGGAAAUACCGUUUGUAACCUUUUGCACAGUAAUUUUCAUGAGGUUCAUCAUGUUUUUUCAUGUAUCAGUUAUUAGUGCUUUAUCAUUAGUUUAUGACUAUGUUCAUUAUUAUUCCAUGAUAUUGAUCAUACAGUUUGUUCAGUUAUUCACUCUGAAAUAUAUUUGAGUUGUUUCCAACUUUCACCUAUUACAGAUAGAGUUCUAUCAACUUCUGUACAAAGGUGAUUGUUUGAGCUCAAAACAUCAUCCUCAGUUCUCUAAGGUGACUUUCUAAACCUAUACUUCAUUGAAAGUCUAAUUUAUGGAGUUCCCAUCAUGCUCAGAGGAAGCAUAUCUGACUAGUAUCCAUGAGGAUGCUGGGUUGAUUCCUGGCCUUGCUCAGUGGGUUAAGGAUCCAGUAUUGUCUUGGGCUGUGGUAUAGGUUGCAGACACGGCUCGGAUCCCACGUUGCUGUGGCUCUGGUGUAGGCCAGUGGCUACAGCUCUGAUUGGACCCCUAGGCUGGGAACCUCCAUAUGCCAUGGGAGCAGCCCAAGAAAUAGCAAAAAGACCAAAAAAAAAAUAAAAUAAAUAAAUAAAUAAAAAUAGUGUCAUAAAUUGUAAAUGUUGUUUUAUAGGUGAAGGUACACUAUUGUAUCCUCUUUUAUAAAAUGAGAAUCACAUAAUAAAAUUUAGAAAAUUAAAAAUCUCAUAAUGCACAUUCUAAUAACAUCAUAAAAAUUAAAAUCCAAAUUCCAAUUAUGUGUGGGAACAUUUAGAAGCCCCUGAUUUAAAACGCACUCAUCUGAAAGCCCUUGUGUCUGUAGGUAGUACAGCACAAAAGGCUUAAUGCACUUAAACCAUAUUAGAUAGAGGUGUAAUUAAAAAUGAAAUUUUGGACUUCCUGUCCUGGCGCAGCAGAAACAAAUCCUACUAGUAACCAUGAGUUUGCAGGUUCGAUCCCUGGGCUCGCUCUGUGCGUUAAGGUUCGCUCUGGUGUAGGUCACAGGCAUGGCUCGGAUCUGGCAUUUCUGUGGCUGUGGCGUAGGCCGGCAGCAACAGCUCGCAUUUGACCCAUAACCUGAGAACCUCCAUAUGCCGCAGGUUCGGCCCUAAAGAGAGACAAGAAGACCAAAAAAAAAAAAAAAAAAAAAA